rnacentral:rRNA from 1 species
UCUCUCUGAAUCUGCGAACGGCUCCGCAAACCAGUUGCAAUCCAAGGCGAGUACCGCGGCCCCUUCACGGGGGACGCGAUAUGGAUAACCGUGGUAAUUCUGAGGCUAAUACAUGACACACAAACCCAGCCAGCCGGUUUGGUCCUCUCGGUCGGCCGGCGCGGCGGGGAGCGUGCGAUUCGAGUCUGGGCGACACGGGAAAGGGCGCACGUUCGGACCACCGUCAAGGGCCGCGCGGGUCGCGGGGGGGCGACCCCUCGCGCAAAGCGCGGCCUGGUGGCUCCCGCAUCGGGCUUCUGACCUAUCAACUAGACGGCAGCUUUAGGGACAUGCCACGGUCGCAACGGGUACAGAGGAUUAGGGUUCGAUCCUGGAGAGUGGGCCUGAGAGAUU